GCGCAAGUUGCGGGGCCGUAAAGGAACCGGCCCCCAGUCUCCGGGGGCUUCAGUCCCGCCCCUCUCUCUCCCCAGUGCCCUGCAGCGCUCCCAGGGUCCGUGUCUGCCCUCCCCAAGGCCCCACCGUCAAUACAAUCGCUAUAAAAAAAAAAAAAAUCUCCCAGGCACGUGCCGUCGGCCUCUCCCCUGCCCGCCUGGCCCAGGAGGCGCCCACACCUGCGCCCUCACUUGCCGAGACUUUACCUGUGCAGUCCCCCGCGGCGCCUGCAGCCGCGCAGGUGCCAUUUAAAAAUUUUGUAUGAAUUAUGUCCUCGCCCACAGCGACUCUCUGAGAUCUGGGGCAUACCAACUCCUUACUCUGGGGGAGUAUUGGAGGGAGGGGGACUUCUACUUUUCUGAUGGGGGAGUACCAGCCUGUUAACCACAACCAUUUGCAGCUGAAGCCGGUGCAGAGCAGGAGGGGGAUCUGCACAGAGGAGAACAGUAUAAAUGGCAUGGGGUCAUCUCAGCCCCUGGCCAGCUCCCAGCCUAAUGGGAAAACCGGACCAUUGAGCAUUCCUUGCUGUUUCCGUGUAGUCCCAGCCCAAGCCAGCGUGCUCUUUCUUUAAAAAGCAAAUCCAACCAUGUUUCUCUUCUGCUUAAAGGCAUCCGGGUUCCCAUUGUUCUUGAGAACAAGUUGAGCUUGCCUCCCCUGGCUGGUGGGUCUACACUGGCUCUGCCCCAGCUUGCCUUUCUGCCUUUGUCUGCCUCCACACCCCCUCACCCGGAACUCCUGCUACCCAAGGCUUCCUUUUAGUUCCUCAAAUGUGCCAUGCUACUCCCUACCUCAAGGGCUUUGCUCCUGCUUUUCUCUGUCUCUCUGGAAUUACCUGUCCUUCUCUUCACCUGGCUUGCGCAUACUCUUCCUUCAGGUCUCAGCUCACACAUCACUUUCCUGCAUCCUCCCACCUCCCAUUACCCUCACUUAUAAUAGAAUUUCCUGUUGAGAGUCUGUCCCCUUCACUGGAUGGUAAACUCCCAGGGGGUAGGGACUAGGGCCGUUCCUUCAAGGAACAAAUGAAGAAAGAGCAUUUGUGUAAACCACCAACUAUGAUGAACAAAUGAAACUGCACUUUUUGGGGCUACCAGUAAGUAUUCUCCAUGGUCUCACGUUCCAAGAUGUUCUCAACUUAAUGAGGGCGAUGAUACAAAUCUCAUGAAAACAUACGUUAUUUUGAAUGCCUUUAUUGUAAAUGUCAAAUAAGGGGAUGCUGGAGGAGGUUGGAGAAGAGCAAUAUGCAUGGAUUACAGCCAUUUACUCAGGAUUUCAAGAUGCAAGAUGUGUUGGUUGACACAAUUUAAUGGAAAACCAUGCCACCCACGACUAUCUCCCAAUGUUGGGCAUGUAUGUCUCAAGGCUCUAGCCUGCACCCUCUUUACUCUUCCUUUCCUCACAUAUUAUUGCUAUCACAGUUCAGUUCUUACUAGCUUCUGACUGAACUGCUGCUACAAGAACCUUCUAAUUGUUCUGCCCAUCCUCCACCUCUCCUGCCUCUAAUCCAUUAUACAUACUCUUGCUGGGUUAAUUUUCCUGACCACAUCAUUCCCUUACUCAAAACUCUUCAGUGGCUCCCUAUGAUACAAUGUAACACUUGACUCUUCAUAACCCACUUCCAAACUACUUUUGUAAAGCUUUAAGAUGCAUUCCAAAAUUAUGAAAGAAACACAUGUUCACCUCAACCAGGAAAACACUCAAAGAUAUACAAAGAAAAACAUUAGUGAUCUUCCUCACCUCCUCUGCAUUUCCCACCCAGUCUCCCAAGACAUCCAUUGUUAAGGACCUGGGGUAUAACUUCUACCUCUUUCGCCAUGCUCCAUGCUCAUAAUAAACUAUAUUCAUAUAUGUGGA
rnacentral:lncRNA from 1 species